rnacentral:lncRNA from 1 species
ACAGGAGCACCGCAACAGGCCGCCAGUCUACUGCGGAGGUCCCAGGAGCCACGCCCCAGAAGUGAGGACCACUGCCGGGAUCGAGGAGUUUGUGGGUGACUGGGCCCUGGGGGGAUAAGGUCUCAUGGCUUGUUUCCAGGGUCUGUCUGCUCAAAGGGGAAUCCAUCUCACCCCUGGGGUCCCACUGUGGCCUUCGCAUGGCCAGCCCCAGGUGAUGGUUUUCAGACGACUGUGUCUUUAACUGGGUCCAGCACCAGGUCCAGGGAACCAUCAAAUUCCACAAAAACAAACCGCAAUCAGGGGCCAGAGGACAGCAGCCUGCACCCAUGCCCCCACAGGCCAGUACCCUCGGGUCUGAGCCAGAGGAGGCCAGGGCCUCGGCCUCCUGCAGCCACGCCUGCCUGUCACCAUGGCUGCAGGUGGGUCUCCAGCUCCUUAAUCAUGCCGGCAGAAACAAAUGUGUUGCUCUGAUCUGCAGACGGUUCCCACUUUACUGACGCACAGUGAGCAUGGAUUAGUCCCAUGAACUACAAAAGGGGCCUCUCCUCUCCUGGCAGGUGUUCAGCCUCUGACUGCAGUCAGGCUCACAGCGGGGUCCUCCGCCGCCGCCAGCACCGCGGAGCCAACAGGAGGGAUGCUGGAAUCCGUGGCGGACCCAGGAUGCUCCCAAAUACGGACCCCGCCCGCAGGUGCCUCUGAAACCAGAGCUCCUCUCCUCAACACCCCAACCAGAGGUAGCAGAGCUGGAGGGUUAGCGCUCCAAGGUACGCUGUAAGAAAAGCCAGGGGUGCAACAGCGUGGAUCCUCCAAGGCCAUUUAUAUAACCCAAGGGUGUGUGUGUGUGUGUGUGUGUGUCCAAACGGGGAGUACAGGAAGGCAGUCACUGACCCGUUGGUGUCUUGGGUGUUAUGAGUUGGUGUGGCCAGGGCGCAAUUUGCUCUGUGGUCCUGACUUUUGUGGUUGAAGACUUCUGGCCUGCAGAGACCCAAGUGGCUGACUGGGUCAGUCUGGGAGAAUCCCAUGGCUGCUCUAGCCUCUGACCAAAAGGAACAGGCACAUCUUAGAAACCAGCAGGACUAUCUGCCUCCGUGUAACUGUGAGAGACCUCUUCCUCCCUCACGACUCACGUGAUAGACAGCAGGAAGGAACCAGGAACAUGGUCCUGCUGCCAUUCCUCUUAGUGGUAGAUCAGGGAUGGACGGUGUAGAGAGCAGGCUGCACCUGCCCUGGGUGACUCCAUGGUGUGUAGGACAGCAGUCCUCAGGCUGUGCCUGCCCUGGGUGACUCCAUGGUGUGUAGAACAGCAGUCCUCAGGCUGUGCCUGCCCUGGUGACUCCAUGGUGUGCAGGACAGCAGUCCUCAGGCUGUGCCUGCCCUGGUGACUCCAUGGUGUGUAGAACAGCAGUCCUCAGGCUGUGCCUGCCCUGGCGACUCCAUGGUGUGUAGAACAGCAGUCCUCAGGCUGUGCCUGCCCUGGCGACUCCAUGGUGUGUAGAACAGCAGUCCUCAGGCUGUGCCUGCCCUGGUGACUCCAUGGUGUGUAGAACAGCAGUCCUCAGGCUGUGCCUGCCCUGACAGCAGUCCUCAGGCUGUGCCUGCCCUAGUGACUCCAUGGUGUGCAGGACAGCAGUCCUCAGGCUGUGCCUUCUGUGGUGACUCCAUGGUGUGUAGGACAGCAGUCCUCAGGCUGUGCCUGCCCUGGUGACUCCAUGGUGUGUAGAACAGCAGUCCUCAGGCUGCGCCUGCCCUGGUGACUCCAUGGUGUGCAGAACAGCAGUCCUCAGGCUGCACCUGCCCUGGUGACUCCAUGGUGUGUAGGACAGCAGUCCUCAGGCUGUGCCUGCCCUGGUGACUCCAUGGUGUGUAGAACAGCAGUCCUCAGGCUGUGCCUGCCCUAGUGACUCCAUGGUGUGUAGGACAGCAGUCCUCAGGCUGUGCCUGCCCUGGUGACUCCAUGGUGUGCAGGACAGCAGUCCUCAGGCUGUGCCUGCCCUGGUGACUCCAUGGUGUGUAGGACAGCAAUCCUCAGGCUGUGCCUGCCCUGGUGACUCCAUGGUGUGUAGAACAGAGUUUUCAGGCUACAGAUAUUAGUAAUUAUGUUUGAAAUAAAAAAAUCUGUGAUUGCCCAGCUUAUGCCUACCAGGUGAGGAGUGUUUGGUGAGCUGCAGCUGCUGAAAGUGGUGUACCUGAGAAGGGAUUGCUAUCCCGUGCCCUUCUGACAUUGUGGAGAGACACACAUGCUUGGCCCUUGCUAAUGGCACGGCUCAUUCAUGAAGGGUUUGGGGGACUUCUGCACAGAGAAGGAAGGGAGAAGGAGGCAGGAAUGGGGGUCAUGUCAGAAGGUAGGCGAGCAGCCAUGGGUCCCAGCAAGCCUCAGGCCAAGUCCACAGUCCUCCUGGGACCCCUCCCUGCCCACACUCCAGAAGAGGCUUCAAGACCCCACUCUUGUCAGCACACCUCCUGAGCCAGCUGGAGUGAGCACAGGGCCCAUGCCCAGGGCCGACUGCGUGUACUGCGUCUUCAGCGACUGCUAGUGCUUCUAGCUGCACACUUGCCAUCUGAUUAGAGGCAAAGUUGAUCUAUUUUAACUUCACACUCCAAGUUAUUCGUGGAGUUUAGUCACAGCCCUAUAUAAUAGAAAACCACCACUGCCUACAGUCAUUUGAAGCCACAAAAACCCUCUCUUUGCACUUUCUAUCUGCACUGUGGCCUGCAGGCUCCUGCAGCCGUGGUCUCCUGCCCUGCAGGUCCCUCUGGUCUGGGAGGCCUGGUGCACUGGCUGUCUGUGCCGUCCCUGGAUGCCAGCCCCCUCCUCCUGUGCCCACGGGACCAGCCCUGCACACCAGGCCCUCUCCCAAGAGCCCCACCGGCUCCUGAACCAAUAAAAGAUCACAUUUUAAUUGAAAGUCACUGUGGCGGCCGUAGGCAGAGGUCUGUUUGUCCUGCGCCUGUGCUGGGGGUUAGCUUCGGCUUGUAGAAGUGCCCACCUCAACUCAGCUGGAAACAGAGUCACACGUGCACACUGCCAAAUUUUCACUUAAACAUCGGUUUUUUAAAAACCAACACUUCACUUGGUUCAAACUGUAAACCAAAGGUCACACGUGUCCAGUCUCCCUCCCACACUGACCCCAGCCAACAAUCUCCUCUGAAGCCACACGGAUCUUUCCAGAGAUGCUUUGGCAUAUACAAUAAAUACAUCACAUAAAGGAGACCAAAAAAUUGCCUGCAGCUUCACACUUGGGAUAAGAGCCAUGUGGGUGUGGUGCGAUCAAGGUUCGGCCUUUCCCAGGAUUAACUGAGUUUUCCUCCCGGCCUCCUGAGCCUUGCUGGGCCGGGCCUGUGGUGCCCACCGUGCAGUAUGCCAAUCGUGAAAGAGAAAGGGUACUUCUGAGGUGGCUGGCGGGAGAGUGGCCUCCACCUGCCUCCCUGAAGGGGGUCCAGGGGUGUUUAUGGGUGGAGGCCCGAGGAAGGGGAACUGGAGGCCAUGAGGAAUGGUGACCAAACCACCAGCCACCAGGACACGGGGCACAGGUGUCACCUAUGCUCAACUAACCUUGGUGAUGUUUCGGGUCAACCGAAGCCAGGAACUAAGAGUGGAGACGUAGCUAAGGCUGAGAGCAGCGCUCACCGGGCUUUGCAGGCUGCGGAGCACGUGCCCUGUGGAGAGGCACCUCGCCAUGAACUCUCCUGUUUUCACGGAUCACUCUGGAGAGCUGAGUGGCAGGACGGACCCCGGCCCUCCUGGGCAGUGGCCUCCUGAGCACCAGCGUGCGGCCUGCUGUGCGCUGUGCCAUCGGGUCAGCGAGAGGCUCCCAGGGAGAACGUGGGGCCUUCCUGGGAACCACAUGCUUCCUUUCCCCUCCUGUCCUCCCCCAAACUUCCCAGUUCCAAAGCGUGACACUCCACACAACCCCCGCUUAGCCCAGAUGAGGAGAGCCACUCUGAACUCGCCCAGGAGAGCGCUACAGAGAAGCGCUCACCGCAGGCGCUCAGCCAAGAAAGGAUCGUGGACCACAGGACCAGACCCCUGUCGCCCAGCCUGCGGCACCCGUGGGACAGAGCCCUCAGCUGGGUCCACAGCAAGCGCAGUGAGCACUCAAAAGCCCAGGGAGCUCUGUGACCCAGGGAGGACCCAGGCCCCAGUCACCAAGGGACGGGGGCCCCCUUCCUGUGGACCUGGGAGCAGGAAUGUAGGGGUGCAGUUGACGGACCUCACAACCACGCGGCUUCAGAGGGAAUCCCACACAAUCAGAGCGCGAUGGAGAAGGGGGCAGCAAACACGGGCCUG